rnacentral:tRNA from 1 species
AAGUCCAGGCGCGCCUUCAACGCACAUCAAUGAGCUUGCAACUCAACAUGAAUUUCACUACAGGACU